GAGCGAGGGCUCAUUUCCCGCAAGGGAGAUGAGUUCCUAGCGGCGAACGGGCGAGUAACACGUGGGCAACCUUUCCUAUCGCGGGGGAUAACAGCGGGAAACCGCUGCUAAUACCGCAUGUCGUCAUCGGUCGCAUGGCCGGUGAAAAAAGCAGCAAUGCACGAUGGGGUGGGCCCGCGGCCUAUCAGCUAGUCGGUGGGGUAACGGCCUACCGAGGCGAUGACGGGUAGCUGGUCUGAGAGGACGACCAGCCACACGGGGACUGAGACACGGCCCCGACUCCUACGGGAGGCAGCAGUGAGGAAUCUUCCGCAAUGGGCGAAAGCCUGACGGAGCGACGCCGCGUGUGGGAUGAAGUCCUUCGGGAUGUAAACCACUGUUGGAGGGGAAGACAACUGACGGUACCCUCCGAGAAAGCCCCGGCUAACUACGUG
rnacentral:rRNA from 1 species